rnacentral:tRNA from 2 species
AAGCGAGAAGCAAAUAUUGCAAUCAGUUUCGACCUGAUCUUUGAUAAUCUUUAAUUAUCCCCGCUUU